rnacentral:rRNA from 1 species
AUACGGAGGAUCCGAGCGUUAUCCGGAUUUAUUGGGUUUAAAGGGAGCGUAGGUGGAUUGUUAAGUCAGUUGUGAAAGUUUGCGGCUCAACCGUAAAAUUGCAGUUGAAACUGGCAGUCUUGAGUCCAGUAGAGGUGGGCGGAAUUCGUGGUGUAGCGGUGAAAUGCUUAGAUAUCACGAAGAACUCCGAUUGCGAAGGCAGCUCACUAGACUGUUACUGACACUGAUGCUCGAAAGUGUGGGUAUCAAACAGGAUUAGAUACCCUGGUAGUCCACACAGUAAACGAUGAAUACUCGCUGUUUGCGAUAUACAGUAAGCGGCCAAGCGAAAGCAUUAAGUAUUCCACCUGGGGAGUACGCCGGCAACGGUGAAACUCAAAUGAAUCGACGGGG